UACAGAGGUCCCAAGCGUUGUUCGGAUUCAUUGGGCGUAAAGGGUGCGUAGGCGGCGCGGUAAGUCGGGUGUGAAAUCUCGGAGCUUAACUCCGAAACUGCAUUCGAUACUGCCGUGCUUGAGGACUGGAGGAGGAGACUGGAAUUUACGGUGUAGCGGUGAAAUGCGUAGAUAUCGUAAGGAAGACCAGUGGCGAAGGCGGGUCUCUGGACAGUUCCUGACGUGAGGCACGAAGGCCAGGGGAGCAAACGGG
rnacentral:rRNA from 1 species